AUUGAACGCUGGCGGCAGGCCUAACACAUGCAAGUCGAGCGGGGUUUUCGGACCUAGCGGCGGACGGGUGAGUAAUGCGUAGGAAGCUACCCGAUAGAGGGGGAUACCAGUUGGAAACGACUGUUAAUACCGCAUAAUGUCUACGGGCCAAAGUGUGGGACCUUCAGGCCACAUGCUGUCGGAUGCGCCUACGUGGGAUUAGCUAGUUGGUGAGGUAAUGGCUCACCAAGGCGACGAUCCCUAGCUGGUUUGAGAGGAUGAUCAGCCACACUGGAACGGAGACACGGUCCAGACUCCUACGGGAGGCAGCAGUGGGGAAUAUUGGACAAUGGGCGAAAGCCUGAUCCAGCCAUGCCGAGUGUGUGAAGAAGGCCUUCGGGUUGUAAAGCACUUUCAGUAGGGAGGAAGAGUUGAGUGUUAAUAGUACUCAGCUUUGACGUUACCUACAGAAGAAGCACCGGCUAACUCUGUGCCAGCCGCCGCAGUAAAAC
rnacentral:rRNA from 1 species